rnacentral:lncRNA from 1 species
GUGGAUGAUGGGGCCCAAUGAGCACCCGCACUCUAAUUAUUACCCUCAAUCCUUUGCCUAUAUAUAGGUCUUUGUAAAUUCAAUAGGGGGCAUCGACUCUUCAACCUUUUAUAAUAAAAUCUCUCUUUGAAAAACUCUCUCUCAUAUACUCUUGCUCUCUCAAAAAUAUCAAAAGAUGUAGCAUCAACUACGGAACUAAUGGAGCAAAAUAAGGUACACAAUUCUAUGACAAGCUAAAUUUUCUAUGGCAAGGUUUUAGGAAAGUAGUAAUAAUACUAAAAUGAUAAUGAUCCUGUGAACACCGGGAGUUCGGCGUCUAUGGCAAGCUAAAUUUCUAUGGCAAGGUUUUAGGAAAGUAGUAAUAAUACUAAAAUGAUAAUGAUCAUGUGAACACCGGGAGUUCGGCGUAACAUUAGUUUAAAGGUUUAAUAACAUCUAGUAAUGAAA